rnacentral:rRNA from 1 species
GAUGAACGCUAGCUACAGGCUUAACACAUGCAAGUCGAGGGACCGGCACACGGGUGAGUAACACGUAUCCAACCUGCCCUUUACUCGGGGAUAGCCUUUCGAAAGAAAGAUUAAUACCUGAUAUAAAGGAUGGGGAUGCGUUCCAUUUGGUUGUUGGUGAGGUAACGGACCACCAAGCAUUCGGAGGAUAGGGGUUCUGAGAGGAAGGUCCCCCACGUUGUAACUGAGACACGGUCCAAACGCCUACGGGAGUCAGCAUGGAGGAAUAUUGGUCAAUGGGCGCUAGCCUGAACCAGCCAAGUAGCGUGAAGGAUGAAGGCUUAUGGGUCUUAAACUUCUUUUAUAUAAGAAUAUGUAUUAUCUGAAUAAGGAUCGGCUAACUCCGUGCCAGCAGCCGCGGUAAUAC